rnacentral:rRNA from 1 species
AUUGAACGCUGGCGGCAGGCUUAACACAUGCAAGUCGAACGGUAACAUGAAGAAGCUUGCUUCUUUGAUGACGAGUGGCGGACGAGUGAGUAAUGCUUGGGAAUCUAGCUUAUGGAGGGGGAUAACUACGGGAAACUGUAGCUAAUACCGCGUAGUAUCGAGAGAUGAAAGUGUGGGACCUUCGGGCCACAUGCCAUAGGAUGAGCCCAAGUGGGAUUAGGUAGUUGGUGAGGUAAAGGCUCACCAAGCCGACGAUCUCUAGCUGGUCUGAGAGGAUGACCAGCCACACUGGGACUGAGACACGGCCCAGACUCCUACGGGAGGCAGCAGUGGGGAAUAUUGCGCAAUGGGGGCAACCCUGACGCAGCCAUGCCGCGUGAAUGAAGGAGGCCUUCGGGUUGUAAAGUUCUUUCGGUAGCGAGGAAGGCAUUUAGUUUAAUAGACUAGGUGAU